ensembl:snRNA U2 U2 spliceosomal RNA
AUCACUUCUCAGCCGUUUGGCUAAGAUUGAGUAUAGUAUCUGUUCUUAUCAGUUUAAUAGCAAAGUCAUAUUUAUAAUAGUUUAAGCCAAAACCUUGGAGGUUUUCUUGACUUUUCACAUGCUACCUUUA